CUUUUGCUGGCGACCGGCGCACGGGUGAGUAACACGUAUCCAACCUGCCCUUUACUCGGGGAUAGCCUUUCGAAAGAAAGAUUAAUGCCCGAUAGCAUAAUGAUUCCGCAUGGUUUCAUUAUUAAAGGAUUCCGGUAAAGGAUGGGGAUGCGUUCCAUUAGGUUGUUGGUGAGGUAACGGCUCACCAAGCCUUCGAUGGAUAGGGGUUCUGAGAGGAAGGUCCCCCACAUUGGAACUGAGACACGGUCCAA
rnacentral:rRNA from 1 species